UUGGUAUUUGAAGAUUUUUCUAAAUCACCAUAAAUGGGUAAGCCUAAAUGUGAGUAGUGGCUCUAAGCCUUAAAAUGGAAGAUUCAUCUAACCCAUACUAAGUAGCUCAAUUGGAUGGGUUGAGUUGUAAAUUUUGUUUGUGGCUUGCAUAACAUUAUAAAUUUGAAGAUGUAGACCAAUUGCACAAGUUGACUUUGGCCAUGGAGAUAAUUUCUUUAUAUUGAGUGGUGUCUGAGGUUGAUUUGUGAAAUUUAUUUUAUUGGUAAUGCAUAGGUUAGGUCAGUGUAGGUAUUGAUUGAGACAUAAUUAUAUUCAA
rnacentral:misc_RNA from 1 species